UGAAGCUGCUGUUGUCACGUUUGUUUGUUUGUUGACAGCGCCUCGCACGUAAACACCAGGAGAAGACUCGUCGGGGGAAAAUGCGGCUGCUGUUCGACGCUCUGAGGAAGCAGGUCGGACUCAGCGGCUCGAGGACGUCGAAGAUCUCCACCCUGAACACGGCGGUGGAGGUUAUCCAAGAUCUGCAGAUGAUAGAGAUGGAAAUGGAGAAGAAGAAGGCGACGCUGAGGAAGAAGAGGGACCGAUAUCUGUGGAGACUCGUUCCAUCAUCAGCAGACCAAACUGAAGCUAACUCCAGGGAGGUCAUUGAUCUGAUCGACGACACCAUCGAAAUCUCAUCUGACGAGGAGAUUGAGGUGGACGAUGGCGAUCGGGGCGUUUCCAAGGCGACGGUGGAGGAAAACGUUCGGCUGAAGAGGAUGAGGAGAUCAGAUGUGGAUGAGACGCCAGGAACCACGAACUCUCCAAAGAAGCUGCAGCUCCAUCAGGCUCGUCAGGAGCUCCAGACUCUGCACAGCGCGAUAGAGGAGCUGAAGAGUCUGAAGACGAGUCUGAAGCAGCAGAGAGACACACAGAGUUCAGGUGAAAAACCAGGUAAGAGCGAGCAGAGAUCAGGAAGUCAGCAGCCAACAGGAGACACAAUUGAAGAUGGCAUCACGGCCACAUCACCUGACCCGCAGCCUCCACAAGCUCCUCCCACUUGUGGUUCUGCCCCACCCACUCCUACACCUGUCCAGCCUCUGGUCCAACAGGUAUUAAACACCGUCCUAGCUCAUUCUGCUGCGUCCCACAAUGCAUCUGUGCAGAGAGAUCGGCCGAGGACGAUUCCCAACAUCCUGUCUCGCAGGAAGACUCAUCCACAGCCACCUCAGAACACAACGACUGAAGAGGUCCAUCCUCCAGGUGAACCUCCGUCCAUCAAGGCUCUGAUCCCGACUGAGGUUCUGUCUCUGGUCCAGGCAGCAUUACCAGGACAACGAGUCUUGUUUGGCCCUCUGGAACCGACAGUGUUGCAGUCAACUCCGAGUCCAGACUUCAGCAUGCUCCAUGCGGUUCACCCUGCAACAACACAACAAGAACAGAAAGAACAACAACAACAGUUAGACAAACAACAACAACAGCAGACAGACAAACAACAACCGACGGACAAACAACAAACACAACAGAACCGGCCGUUGGACCCUCAGUCAGUCUCUGUUGGAUCGGACCGUAGCAGCGACCAGUCCGACCUCAGACCUUCAUCCUCGCCGUCUGUUAGCACCGACCGUCAGUCGCAGGUAAAAGGGGCGGGGCCUCAGGAGACCAACGGUGACCCGGACAACGAGAAUCUGGCAUUACUCCUCAACGAGAUCUUCUUCCUCAACCAGCAGAACAUCACCACGAUGACGGCAGCAGGGGUCCCAUCACCAGGGAAACCAACCUCUGAGGUGGGCGAAGCCAAGGAGCGAGACCACGUCCACAGACUCCCACAGCCAGACUCGGACUCUACCAGCACCGUUGCCAUAGAGACAGAGGGGGUGGGGCUUAAUGGCUAUGCAGAGGCGACUGGCGUGCAGGAGGGACCAGGAAACACUAAAGGAGCUGUGCUGACUCCGCCCCCUCUGCUGCAGAUGAAGGUGGGAGGGGCCAAGGUUGCCCCACCCACCAGCAGUGACAGCGCAGCAGGAGGGGCAUCAGCAGAGAGGAGGGAGGGGGGCAUGGCCUGGAGGCCGAUGCCGAGGCUGGUUCCUCUGGGGUUGAGGGGGAACCCGCCCUGCUGAUGUCACGCAUGAUGUCACCGCAGCUUCAGGACCUCAUUGGCGGUCUGUGGGCAGCGAACAUUUUCUGAUUGGUCAUCAGGAAGAGAAGCGGAUCACUGAUGUUUACAGUCGAGCAGAGAUCGUGUCACCUUAUUUAUUUUGUCAGCGCCGUCAUCCUUUCAGUCUGAGCUCCGUCGUUUGUUUGCUUUAGUCGUUGUUUCAGGAUCGUUUCAGAAUAAAGUUGAAACAGAAAAAAUCCCGAUACGGAACUGAUAACAGAUCAAUACUGUAAAAUAGACUGAGGCUGUUGCUAUGGCAAUGGCAGGUACCCUGUCGCCAGGGUAACCGCCUUCUGAGGCGACCGGAGGGAAAAAAGUUGAUAAAAUAUUCUGAAUAAUUUUGGUUGUUUCCAAACUGUAAUUUAAAUAUGUUUGGCCGCGAUCAAUCGAUUUAUUGAUCACCAGAAUAACAAUCAGCAGCUGUUUAAUUAAUCAAUGUCAUUUUUCUGAUGCAGUUUACAGGCAGAAAACAGCCGAUAGAAUAAUCAAUAAUAAUAAUGUUGCAGCUUCAUUCUAAUAAAGUUUCUGAUCAAUCAUGUCGACUAGUUUGAAGCUGAGAAAUAUCAAAACUUUAGGUUUGCUUUAUUGUUGGGAUUUUAUUGUGAAAUCCGACUUUAUUUAAACCACGAACAAAAUGUUAGAAGAACAGUUGUUUGUGUUUCAGGCAGCAACUCACCUGUCCAGCUAGAAAACAGACUCUAACCCGUUUCACUUCCUCUGAAUGUUUUGAGUCAAAAUAAUUUUUAUUUCUGGCCAAAUGAAGAUUCUGUCACCUGAAUUUAUCUUUCAGAACCGAUUUAGUUUCAUAUUUUUAAGAGCUAAUUUAAAACGUUUUCGACGGUUCAGUAAACUUCAUUGAUGCUGCUCAGACGAAAUAAGAACCAAACUGAAAGAAAAGUUAGUUUUUUAAAGCGUUAUUUUAUCCUGUUGAAAUGUUUUACUUUGAAAAACUCUGAAAACUCGAAAGACUACAGAAACAUAAAACUCCUCCUUUAAUAGAAGAACGAAACUUUCUGUUCCAAAUGUUGCAGCUUUACUCUGAAAAUCUGAAACUGACAGAAGCUUUAUUUUUGUACUUGAAGGUUUUCGUUCAUCGGCGUCACGAUGAAAUAUUUCAGCUGUUUCCGUUUUCAGGAAAUAAUAAACUAUGACAGGAAAGUUUCUUUGUGUUGAACUGUGAAAACUCCUCGAGUUGGUGAAGAAAACUCACCUGGACUGACUCACCUGGACUCACCUGUAAAGACUCAUCAGGACUGACUCACCUUAACUCACCUGGAGCGACUCACCUGUAAAGACUCACCUGGACUCACCUGUAAAGACUCACUUGGAAUGACUCAUCUGGACUCACCUAUAAAGACUCAUUUGUACUGACUCACCUGUACUGACUCACCUGGACUGACUCAUCUGGACUCACCUGUAAAGACUCAUUUGGACUGACUGACUCAUCUGGACUCACCUGUAAAGACUCAUUUGGACUGACUCACCUGGACUGACUUGCCUGUAAAGACUCUCCUGUACCUGCAAGCAGGAUUAAAGCAUCCGUCUGUCGUGCGGCUCUGCUUUGUUUUUCUUAAAUUUGUAUUUUUGUACGAGUUAAAGUUAAACUCUGUUAUCUGAAUAAAACUCUAAUAUCAAUAAAGUUUCACUACGAACGUCUGACUGCUGAGAUUUUAUCAAUGAAACUAAAAAAAAUUAAACUUACUGUUUGAAUAUCUGCUAAAACUCAGGAAAGGGACUUUUCUGAUUUACUAGACGACACAUGA
ensembl:lncRNA